UACGUAGGUGGCAAGCGUUAUCCGGAUUUAUUGGGCGUAAAGGAAACGCAGGCGGUCUUUUAAGUCUGAUGUGAAAGCCUUCGGCUCAACCGGAAAAUUGCAUCAGAAACUGUUGAACUUGAGUGCAGAAGAGGAGAGUGGAACUCCAUGUGUAGCGGUGGAAUGCGUAGAUAUAUGGAAGAACACCAGUGGCGAAGGCGGCUCUCUGGUCUGCAACUGACGCUGAGGCUCGAAAGCAUGGGUAGCAAACAGG
rnacentral:rRNA from 1 species